ensembl:snoRNA Gm25409 predicted gene, 25409
UUCCUCAGCUACUGGUCUGCAGCUGUCCUCAUGGUAGCAGUUGUAGCAUUCCUCUAUGGGAAAGAAAAUGUUACACCAUUUAAUGCCUCUUUCUUGGCCACACAAAAGAAGAAUAUGCUUGACAGACACAA